AUCAGCGAGAGAGAGGAAAAAAAACAUAACACACAGCAAGUGCAGAUUGUUCAGAAGCUGAAGAUCAGCGGUUUGCGUGCAGUCGUGGACCGUUGCUCACAUAUAUGCAGAGCCAAAAGGACGAGGAAGAAGAGAGAGCGAGUGCAUUUAGGAGUCUUGGAGCAGCGGAUAAAAUAAUAACACAGUGCAGCAGAGAGACAACAAUGGAGGCCUGCACUGCCGUCGAGCGCGAAGUCGACAAGGUCCUUUCCAAAUUUGGGGCGAUCAACGAUCACGCGGACACGACUCUCAGGGAUCUUGUCAAUCACAUAGAGUCGUUAAAAAAAGAACUUGAGGAAGCACCACCAGAUCAUGAACUGACGUCGGAGCAAUUGCAAAUCUUGAAGCAAGCAAUGACCAAAGCAAGGGAUACAGUUCACAGAUUGGCAACAGAUCAUCGGGAGUUGCACAGUACGGUUUCCAAGGUAGGAAAAGCAAUAGACAGAAAUUUUAUAGCAGACUUUGCCAGCACAAGUAGAGAGGAUGUCUUCUCUGGGGCAGAAAAAACACAUCUACUCAAUCAGGUCAUUUGUCAGCACUUUUAUCGCCAAGGAAUGCUGGACAUUGCCGAUGAGUUGGCUGCAGAAGCUGGAAUCAAGACUGACGAGGGUAGAAAAGAACCAUUCACGGAAUUAAAUCACAUACUCGAUUGCCUGAAGCAAAAAAAUUUAGAACCAGCUUUGGAAUGGGCAUCAAAGCACCGAGAAGCACUCAUUGCACAAAAUUCUUCCUUAGAAUUCAAAUUACAUAGGUUACAAUUUAUCAGAUUGGUACAGCAAGGACCAAGUAAGCAAAGGGAAGCAAUAGACUAUGCGCGAAAACAUUUGACACAAUUUGUCAGUAGACACGAAAAAGAAGUUCAAUCUCUCAUGGGUACACUACUGUACCUACCAAACGGAAUUCAAUUAUCUCCUUACAGUCAUUUACUAGAUCCCACUCUGUGGCUGGAUAUUCAUGAUGUUUUUACAAAGGAAGCGUGCACGCUAUUAGGACUAAGCGUCGAUAGUCCGUUAUCCGUGUGCAUAACAGCUGGAAUCACGGCGCUUCCUGCUUUACUGAAUAUAAAACAAGUUAUGCAACAACGACAAGUGUCUGGCAUCUGGAGUGGAAAAGACGAACUUCCUGUAAGACAAUCUCUAGCGAUUGAAAUUGAUUUGGGAAAACAAGGGCGCUACCACUCUGUAUUUGCAUGUCCAAUCUUGAGACAGCAGAGCACGGAAAAUAAUCCACCAAUGAAGCUUGUUUGCGGUCACGUUAUUUCACGUGAUGCUUUGAAUAAAUUGACCAACGCCAACAAAAAAUUCACUUCCAGGUUGAAAUGCCCAUACUGCCCGGUGGAUCAAAAUCCAGAAGACGCUAGGCUCAUUUACUUCUAAUUGUGAUAGCAAAGGAACACAUAUUUGUACGAUACUUUACAAGUAUAUAUUCCUUCCAUGACUAGUAUUAGGUUUUUAUUAUUACGGUUGGGUUUACAAUAGCGAGAAAAAAAAACCAAAAAUUUCGAGAAGUUUAUGUAUAGAUGAUGCCGUAUAAAUACAGUUUUAGAUAAAUUUUCAUCGAAAAAAAAAAAAACUACUUUAUUUCAUAAAGUUUUACAAGCGUAUGA
rnacentral:misc_RNA from 1 species